CUGGGCCUAAACUCAAUCCGCGGUCCCCGACCGGUUUCAGGGCAAAGCUGCCAUGCCUUCCGGGGGCCGCGGUCGACCCCGGUUGAGGCUCGGGGAACGUGGCCUCACGGAGCCACCCUCAUUGCCCAAGCGCCGCCUGCUACCGCGGGUGCAGCUGUUGCCCGUGCUGCUGCUGGCGCUGGCCGUGGGCUCCGCGUUCUACAUCAUCUGGAGCAGCUGGCACCGCGGGACUGAGGAGCUGUCGCAGGGCCGGCGGCUGCGGGCCCCGCCGAUUGGAAGCCUCCCAGAAGACAGGCUGCGACGGGUGGUGGGGCAACUAGACCCACAGCGUCUCUGGAGUACUUACCUGCGUCCUCUGUUGAUUGUGCGAACCCCUGGUAGCCCAGGCAAUCUCCAAGUCAGAAAGUUCCUGGAGGCCACGCUGAGGACCCUGACAGCAGGCUGGCAUGUAGAACUGGAUCCCUUUACAGCGUUGACGCCCCUGGGGCCACUGGACUUUGGCAACAUAGUGGCCACGCUGGACCCAGGGGCUGCCCAUCACCUCACCCUUGCCUGCCAUUAUGACUCGAAGCUCUUCCCUCCUGGGUCAGGCCCCUUUGUAGGGGCCACGGAUUCGGCUGUGCCCUGUGCCCUGCUACUGGAGCUGGCCCAGGCCCUUGAUCUGUUAUUGAGCAGGGCCAAGGAGCAGGCAGCCCCGGUGACACUACAACUGCUCUUCUUGGAUGGUGAAGAGGCGCUGAAGGAGUGGGGACCCAAGGACUCUCUUUAUGGCUCCCGGCACCUAGCCCAGCUCAUGGAGUCCAUACCCCACAGUCCUGGCCCCACGAGGAUCCAGGCUAUUGAGCUCUUUGUGCUUCUUGAUCUUCUGGGAGCACCCAACCCAACCUUCUACAGUCACUUCCCCCGCACUCUCCGCUGGUUCCAUCGGCUGAGGAGCAUCGAAAAGCGUCUGCAUCGUCUGAACCUGCUGCAGUCUCAUCCCCAGGAGGUGAUGUACUUCCAGCCCGGGGAGCCUCCUGGCUCUGUGGAAGAUGACCACCUCCCUUUCCUCCACAGAGGGGUCCCCGUGCUCCAUCUCAUCUCCACGCCCUUCCCCACCGUCUGGCACACACCUUCUGACUCCGAGGCCAAUCUCCACCCACCCACGGUCUACAACCUGAGCCGCAUCCUCGCUGUGUUCCUGGCCGAGUACCUGGGGCUCUAGCCUGCUGGGUCAGUGCUUGAGGAGGACCUUACUCUAAGGAAGAAGUGCCCACCAGGGCACAUGCCAAGGCACCCAGUGCCAGUGGAGCUCGGCUGGGUCAACCUCCAGCAUGCUAGCUUGUCCUUUCUGACACCUUCGGCUCCUAUCUGUGCUACAAUUGGAAAGUCCAUUUUCCUUUGUCUGAAGCUACCCACGCUUCAAGGACAUGGAAGGGACCACUGUGGGGGUUCUCGAGAGCCAAAGGAACAAGAGCUUGGGCCCUGCCCUGAGGCAAACACUUGGUCUGGAAGGUCUGCAGGGACCAAACGCUGUUCUUUAGUCAGCAAACCAUGGACUGGCAUCUGGAACAGCAGCACCCAACCAAACGAAGUCUCUGUGGCUUGCGUUUGUGUGUCAUUUCAUUCUCCGGAAUGGCAGUCUUGUUCCUGCCCGAGUCAGACCUCUAUCUCCCCAGGGAGGCCCACAGCGGCUGGGCUCAGACAGAACAGAGAUUGAAGCCAAGACCUCGGCGCUCCAGAUCUGCCUGACCCAAUGGGCAACAAACCAGAGUUUUAAGUGGAUCAGAGAUCAAGCUAGUAGGGUGGACAUUAUAUGCGUUUCCUCACUGUACAACUUGAAUUAUCCACAGUAUGACCGAGAAUGCAGUGGUUCCCAAAGUAUCUCAUCAUGGAGCCCCAUAAUUAGGAAGCACCACACAGAACUAGAUUAAGAAACGGCUUCAGAGGAACCAACUGCCCAAGAUCACACAGCUGGGUGUCAUCACUGCAUUUAAAAAAAUUUUCCCUGCUUAUGAUUCACUGGGUUUAUUGGUGUCUCAUCAGUAUGCAAUUCUCAACCAUCACAUCUUUAAAUAUUAUCUUUGCAUCAUCUCUCUUCUGAUUCUGGAAUGUGUGUUGGACCUUCUCACUGUCCUCCAUAACCUUUCUUUCCUAUUUUCUCAGGUUUCUUUUGUGUUUGUGUUUCUGUGUUGCAUUUCUCUCAUUAGGUUUAAUUCAAUAUAUAUGGUCACUAUAGUUUUCAUUUCUACAAGUUCUGUGUGUGGGCUGCCUGCCCCCUUCCCCAAUCUGCUAGGAGAGUUUUUAGUUUGAGGUUCCCUGCUGAUAUUUCCAAGCUCUUAAAUUUUUUUAAAGAAAAAAAUUUUAUGAUAUUUUACUUAAUAUGUGACUGAGUUCUGUCUGAAAACUCUGUGGACCUGUUCAGAGGGUUGUUUCUGCUGGUUCCUGCUUUUAUUGCUUUAUUUCCAUGUGUGGUUGUUUACUAUUCAUUGUCUGAAAGGAUUAUUUGUGGAAUUUUAGAUGACAGUUCCACUGUUUCUGCCCAACCUCUCAGCAAAUGUACCCUGAUCGUACAGGUGAUGUGAACCUGGCUGCAAACCUGUGCAGUCUAUGACCCCCAAUUCUCAGGGUCAAGUUUUUCUUUCCUUUGGUCUUGUGCUCCCCCUGCUUUCCAAACAUCUCCAGGGUCUUCUGGAUCCUGAGUGUGUAGUGCUCUGGGAUCCCCACUCCUUUGGCUCUUAUUAUACUGGGCAGGACUUCAGCCUGUUUGUCCCAGUAAGGAGGUCACAUAGGAAACCCAAGUUUAUCCACUUCAGCAAAUGCCCUGAGGGCAAAAGUGGUUUCAGGGCCCACAUACUUUCCCCUUUUUGUCUCCUGGGUCCUAUGGUAUUUUACUGACCAUCUGAGCUCUUUAGGAAAUUUGUUAUUUCAGUUGUUUUCAGCAGAAGGAGCCAAACUCACACUUGAGGAGAAACCGAAGCUCCACAAAAUCAAACCUAAGAUUCAAACUCAGGUCUCAUUGGUUCUAAAAUCUAAGCAUUGAGUUACUACUAUGAUAUUCCCUAGUCUCUCUGGAUAUUGAUUCCCUGAUAAGAACGUCAGCAACUGCUACU